GCUGUGAUGUUUCAAAUGUUUAUUCGACACAAAAUGCAGCAAUUAUGACACCUAACUUUUUUACUGCUGGAGAAUUGAAGACCUAUAGUUCUAUAUUUCUGUUUGACCUAACAGGGUGUUCUAACACUUUUUACUUUUCAACCAGAAUGCUGAAUCUUGAUACAGCCACCAUUUUUUCUAUUUUAUCAUUCUCUUAUAUGUAGGACAUGGAGAGGGAUGUAGUAAAAUAGAGACUUUAUACUUUUAAUUGCUUAAAAAUAAAGUACGUCAUUCAGAGAUCUUACACUUAGUAUCUGUUUUUAUUUGCAAUUUUCAUAGCGUCGUCUCGGAGAUGCAGCCAAGAAAGCCAUCAGUAAAUUGACAACCAGGACAGUAAAGAAGGGUGACAAGGAAACUGACCCAGACUUUGAUCAUUGUGCAGUCUGCAUAGAGAGCUAUAAGCAGAAUGAUGUCGUCCGAAUUCUCCCCUGCAAGCAUGUUUUCCACAAAUCCUGCGUGGAUCCCUGGCUUAGUGAACAUUGUACCUGUCCUAUGUGCAAACUUAAUAUAUUGAAGGCCCUGGGAAUUGUGCCGAAUUUGCCAUGUACUGAUAACGUAG
rnacentral:lncRNA from 1 species